rnacentral:pre_miRNA from 1 species
UGAUGAUGAUGAUGAUGAUGAUGAUGAUGAUGAUGAUGAUGAUGAUAAUAAUUCUCCUUGUUUAUUAUUAUUAUUAUCAUCAUCAUCAUCUUGGCCA